rnacentral:rRNA from 1 species
UACGGGGGGGGCAAGCGUUGUUCGGAAUUACUGGGCGUAAAGGGCUUGUAGGUGGCCAACUAAGUCAGACGUGAAAUCCCUCGGCUUAACCGGGGAACUGCGUCUGAUACUGGAUGGCUUGAGUGUGGGAGAGGGAUGCGGAAUUCCAGGUGUAGCGGUGAAAUGCGUAGAUAUCUGGAGGAACACCGGUGGCGAAGGCGGCAUCCUGGACCAAUUCUGACGCUGAUGAGCGAAAGCCAGGGGAGCAAACGGG